rnacentral:tRNA from 1 species
GGGCGCAUAGCUCAGUUGGUUAGAGCGCCGUGCUCACACCGCGGAGGUCACAGAUUCGAGUUCUGUUGCGCCCA